rnacentral:lncRNA from 1 species
AUGCCAGUCCCAGUGCCGAUACUGGUCCCAGUUCCAUCCCAGUGCCAUCCCAGUACCAAUACUGGUGCUGUCCCAGUUCUAGUCCCAGUUCCAGUGCCCAUACUGGUCCCAGUUCUGAUACUGGUUCCAGUCCCAUCCCAGUGCCAUCCCAGUACCGAUACUGGUCCCGGUGCUGAUGCCAGUCCCAGUGCCAAUACUGGUCCCAGUUCCAUCCCAGUACCAAUACUGGUUCUGAUGUCAUCCCAGUUCCAUUCCAGUUCCGUCCCAGUACCGAUACUGGUCCCAGUGCUGAUGCCAGUCCCAGUUCCAGUUCCGAUACUGAUCCCAGUGCCAGUCCCAGUGCCGAUACUGGUCCUGGUGCCGUCCCAGUUCCAUCCCAGUUCCAUCCCAGUGCUGAUACUGGUGCCGUCCCAGUUCCAGUUCCAUCCCAGUGCCAUCCCAGUGCCAUCCCAGUGCCGAUACUGGUGCCAUCCCAGUUCCAGUUCCAUCCCAGUUCCAUCCCAGUUCCAUCCCAGUCCCGAUACUGGUGCUGUUCCAGUGCCAUCCCAGUGCCGAUACCGCUCCCAGUGCCGGGCUUUUGGGGUUCCAGUGCCAUUUUUGGGGUGCCGGGGUGGGUUUUGGGGUGCAAGUGGGGGUUUUUGGGGUGUCGGGGGUGCCAGUUUUGGGGUGUUCCCAUCCCCGUGUCCCCACGUUCUCCACGUCUCUGAUGCCACCUCCCCAUCCCCAUGUUCUCCACGUCCCUGGUGCCACCUCCCCAUUCCCAUGUUCUCCCUGUCCCUGGUGCCACCUCCUCCGUGUCACCUCCCCAUGUUCUCCACAUCCCUGGUGCCACCUCCCCAUGUUCUCCACGUCCCUGGUGCCACCUCCCAUCCCCAUCUCCCCACGUCCC